CGGGAGCGGCGCUGCGGCGCUGCCUCAAGAGGGACUGGACCGGGACUGGGACCGGCACCGGCCUCAGCCUCUCCCGGCGCGGCCAGCGAGAAUCUCUGCGUCCCUCAUGCGCACCAAACCGGUGCUGGUGGAGGCGGCUCCACAGCUGCGCCUUCCCCCGCCAUGUUCUGGCGAGGCUCCCUCGGGGCCGGUGCCGCUCUCCGCCGGCCCCGGCGCUGAUCGGCUGCGGCGGGAGGAACCGAGCGAGCCUGGCAGUGGACAAAAAAUGAAGUGACCAGGAUGGUGUGAGUUCAGAAAUGCAGGGCGAUCCUUCAGGAGGGGGCUGCCCAAGCAAGCUUCAGCCACCUUGCUGACUAGGCAGACCAGAGGAGCCCAGCCCAGGUGAGCUCCACUGCUGGGAGGUGCAAGCCCUGCCCAGGUGAGCUCCACUGCUGGGAGGUGCCAGGGGGUGCCAGCCCUGCCCAGAUUAUGCCUUGAGCUGCAGAAUGUCUGACAAACUGAGAACUGCUUGGCAGCAUCCACGUCUGAUGGCUUGGAGAUUCCUGAAACUUGAUCAUCUGUGUUUUCUCUGCAUGGUUAAGAAGGAUUUAAAUAAAAAUUAAAAAAAAAAAAAAAAAAAAAAACUAAAUAAAGAUGCCACCUACAAGACUG